UACGUAGGGUGCAAGCGUUAAUCGGAAUUACUGGGCGUAAAGCGCGCGCAGGCGGUCCCUUAAGUCUGAUGUGAAAUCCCCGGGCUCAACCUGGGAAUUGCGUUGGAGACUGCAAGGCUAGAAUCUGGCAGAGGGGGGUAGAAUUCCACGUGUAGCAGUGAAAUGCGUAGAGAUGUGGAGGAACACCGAUGGCGAAGGCAGCCCCCUGGGUCAAGAUUGACGCUCAUGCACGAAAGCGUGGGGAGCAAACAGG
rnacentral:rRNA from 1 species